rnacentral:rRNA from 1 species
GAGUUUGAUCCUGGCUCAGAGUGAACGCUGGCGGUAGGCCUAACACAUGCAAGUCGAACGGCAGCACAGUAAGAGCUUGCUCUUACGGGUGGCGAGUGGCGGACGGGUGAGGAAUACAUCGGAAUCUACUUUUUCGUGGGGGAUAACGUAGGGAAACUUACGCUAAUACCGCAUACGACCUACGGUGAAAGCAGGGGAUCUUCGGACCUUGCGCGAUUGAAUGAGCCGAUGUCGGAUUAGCUAGUUGGCGGGGUAAAGGCCCACCAAGGCGACGAUCCGUAGCUGGUCUGAGAGGAUGAUCAGCCACACUGGAACUGAGACACGGUCCAGACUCCUACGGGAGGCAGCAGUGGGGAAUAUUGGACAAUGGCGGCAAGCCUGAUCCAGCCAUA